rnacentral:rRNA from 1 species
UACGGAGGGUGCAAGCGUUAAUCGGAAUUACUGGGCGUAAAGCGCACGCAGGUGGCUGAGUCAGUCGAUUGUGAAAGCCCUGGGCUUAACCUGGGAAUUGCAGUCGAUACUACUCAGCUAGAGUAUGGGAGAGGGCAGUGGAAUUCCCGGUGUAGCGGUGAAAUGCGUAGAUAUCAGGAGGAAUACCGAUGGCGAAGGCAGGUCUCUGGGCUGACACUGACGCUCAUGCACGAAAGCGUGGGGAGCAAACAGG